UCAAGGAAGCAAGUGAUGAAUGAAUAUGGGGGACUGAAAAGAUCUUACUACAUGGAUCCGCAACCUCUGAACCAUUUUGAGUGGCACCUUUAUGAAUAUGAAAUCAGUAAGUGUGAUGCUUGUGCCUUGUAUAGGUUGGAACUGAAGCUUGUUGAUGGGAAGAAGAGUUCCAAAGCAAAAGCAACAACUGAUUCAGUGGCUGAUCUGCAGAAGCAGAUGGGAAGGCUUACUGCUGAGUUUCCCUUAGAUAACAAGCGCUCUGUUAAAGGAAGGACAAAAAUUAAUAUGAAGGAUGGUGUUGGAGAUGUUUAUUCUACUCCAAAUCGGGUAGG
rnacentral:lncRNA from 1 species